AUGGAGGAGUGCGGCGGCGGCGCUCUCCCUUCGUCUCCGUGCGCAGCGGCGGCGCUCUCCCUUCGUCUCCGUGCGUGGCGGCGGCGGCGGAGGUGUGCAUGCGCACAGCAGAAGGAUGGUGCCGCGAGCAGUUUUGGUGGCGGGUUCGAUUCCGGCGAGGACAAGAAGGCCGCCGCGCUUGGGGCUGCACGGUCCGACGACGUUUCUGCUACGCAGGCGAUUUGGGCUCGGCUCCACCCCCUGCAGAGGCCGGUGCCCUCGACGACUAUCGCCUCCUGCCGUGAGCCCGAGCUGCCAGUGCUACCGCCGCGCUCUUGGUACUGCUCGUCGCAACCCCAGAGCAACCUCCUCCCACUCCUCCAGCCGGCGCCACUGCCCUCCAUGGUGAGUCCAUCCCCUGCUAGAUACACCCGGGGGGCUAGCCGCUGGAUGCUCUGCUUCAUUAGUGUCGCACUACCCCUAAAAUUUGGCGCUCUGCAUUUUGCUAACUGUUGCUGCUAA
rnacentral:rRNA from 1 species